UACGGAGGGCGCAAGCGUUAAUCGGAAUCACUGGGCGUAAAGCGCACGUAGGCGGCGAGAUAAGUCGGGCGUGAAAGCCCUCGGCCCAACCGAGGAAUUGCGUUCGAUACUGUUUGGCUUGAGUCCUGGAGAGGGUGGCGGAAUUCCGGGUGUAGGAGUGAAAUCCGUAGAUAUCCGGAGGAACACCGGUGGCGAAGGCGGCCACCUGGACAGGUACUGACGCUGAGGUGCGAAAGCGUGGGGAGCAAACAGG
rnacentral:rRNA from 1 species